CGGGGCGUAGCUCAGCCUGGCUAGAGCGCUUGGUUCGGGACCAAGAGGUCGCUGGUUCAAAUCCAGUCGCCCCGA
rnacentral:tRNA from 2 species